AAGUAAUGAAGUAAAAUUUACAUUUAGUUUCGACCUAAAAACAAGAGAACUUAUUUCUCCUUACUUU